UGGUAGGUUCACCUCUUUUGUGAAUGAAUGUACACUAAUUUUAUAUGAAAAUUUGUUGUCUAUUGACCAUUUUAUGCAUUCUAGCCACUGGUAGAAAAAUUUCUCUAAUUUUCCUACCCUAUAUAUUUUCUUUACUCUCUGAAAGAAUUU